UCGUGCUAGACGGGGAGCUGGCGGUGCCCUGUACCCGCAAUCCGCCUUAGCGGGGUUGAAUUCCCUCUCGAGGUGCGGCUUUUCAGGACUGCGGCCGUGGCGGGGCGUUGAAACUCGGGUCCCGCACGGCGGGGAACUGCGAAUCGGGUCAGGACCGGAAGGUAGCAGCCCUAAGCAGAAUUCCUCGGGUGAUGCGGGGACGCCCGGGUGGAGCCAACGCGCGGUCGUAAGCUGGGGAGUCCGUAUCGACAGAGGGUGCACGG
rnacentral:SRP_RNA from 1 species